AGCCCGGUUUGUCGUGCCUGUGUGUGUGUCUAGUAUUGUAAAUACACAGAUCAGAAUCAGCCCUGGGAUUGUAUGUGGUGGAAGAUGUUGCCUGUUGUCUGCACCACCGUUGCACUAAAAGCUAGCAGAUGCAUUACGGUAAUGCUUCUAAUCUCUGUGCACGCUUUGAACAAGUUGUUUUGAAUGUAUUUCCCCAGCAGCAUUCAUCUAUGAAACUUCUUUGCAUGUGAUGUUUUCUAUAUGGAUUAUGUAUGAGUCUCACUGUGAAACAGUUCUUACAUUGUUCGGAGAACUAUAUUGUUCUAGGGAUUUGAUAUGUGAAUCCAGAUUUCAUGAUCUUAUUGGCCCCCAACAGCUCAGUUCCUGCCUUUAAAAUCAUUGGAUAAUUUUAACCAGUUGUGACAAGUACAAGGCCUUGCUGUUGCACGUUGCAAUCGAAAGCUUGUGACUCACUUGAGGUCUCAGAUGUGGUCAGCGGGGAUGCCACUCAAGUUAAAGGGACGCUUCCAGCUCUCAUUGCUGUGUCCUUCGCUAUCUGUUUAUCUCUCGACACUUGUCCCUUCGUAUUAGCCCUCUCCAUCCUGCUUUCUCUCUCAGUUUUUGUCUGCUGUCUGUCACCCUGCAUCCUUCCAUCAACACUUGCUCUGAUGAGGGUUUUUUUCUUUUCCUCCUUCCUGUGUUUGAAGAGGUGUGGGAGGUGUUGAUUCUCCUCAUCACUCCACACUGAUGUGGUCGUCCACUAAUCAGAAGGUUGGUGGUUCGAUCCCCAGCUCCUACCUCUGCAUGUCGAAGCCUCCUUGGGCAUCCUGAACCCCAAAUUGCUCCCGAUGCGGUGACAUCGGUGUGUGAGUGUGUGUGCAUGGGCAUAGUUAGUUUCUGGGCAGCAGUUAGCAAAUUGCAUGGCAGCGUCUGUCAUCAGUGUGUAAAUGGGUGAAUGUGACAUGUAGUGUAAAGCGCUUUGAGUGGUGAGAAGACUAAACUUGAGUCCAUUUAGCAUUCAUUUAUUAACUUUUCCACCUCAGCAGAGCGUAAAAACAUUCUUGCAUUAUUUACUUCUGCCUUUCCUCUGGGAUCAGAAAACAGUUUUUAUGCACAAAUUAAUACAUGGAUGAAAAUGCAAUUAUUGACAGUUUUUCCUUUUUUUCUUUUAAACUUUAAUCUCGCAUUUUCUUUCUUAGAUAUUUUUCAGAUGCCAAAUUACCCCAAAACUAACUUCAAGUUAAAUGCAGCUACAGUACUAGGCUGGUUGUGUCUGUGUCUGGCUGUCUGUAUCUGUUCACAGGUCCAGGGUCAGGUCGCCCUGGUCACACUCACUGGGUCACAGCAUGAGACGAGUGGCUUAGUGCGUAUUGUGUGCGUGAGUGUGUGUUUUCAGAGGGCAUAUACUCAUCUCUCUGUAGUCCUUUUUAACAGCAAGAGAAUACAUCUAGGAACUAAUUUGAGUUACCUCAGAGCCACUAGGGCAGAUGCUUCAGUUUGCACUGGGCCUUUCAGUCCACCUGUUUGUUUAUUGUCCAGGACUGCUUGGUCAGCCUGUUCUGUCCGUGCAAGCGGACUUGUGUUAUCUCUUGUUGUUUAAGCUCCAAACUUUUUUAUCACUCGCAAAACAAUCUUUAUCUCGUCCCUGUCUCAGCCCUGGCCUCCUUAUCGAUCUUUUGCCUGGCAAGUUUGCAGUGUUUGUGGAUGUGAGGACAUGGCGGUAACGGCCUACAAAUGGGAAAUACAGUACAUUGUGUAUUUUAUGUUUGUUAGCUUGACUUGACUUCUGUUAAUUUGAAGCUUUGCUUCAGGGAAACUACAGAGAUAGGCGAUAGAAUGAAAGGGAGCUGAAUUAAUUUCUCUUUUUUUCACGGAAAUUGUGUGUGAGUUCACGACAGGGCAGAAUUUAGGGUCAGAGAAGUUCACUCAGCUCAAGCGCUUGUGUUGUCUCAGCCGUAUGCCUUUAUUGGAAAAACCUUUUCCUAUUUCUUAAUGUUUUCAACAAGAGAUGAAUGAUAUACAACUACAGCAUCUGUUUUUUAAACUUUAUGGGCUAUAUAUAAUAGGUGUCUUUGAACAGUUUGCUGUUUAUGUAACAGUAGAGAAUAUAUUAAUUUUCUCUCACCAAUAACCAUUUCUAUUUCCUAAAUCACAGCUGUGCAAAAAAAUUCAGGGGCUUUUCUCAAUUGAUCUAAUAUUCUCAGCCAGGCGGAGAGAUUAGGCGUGUGUGGCGGUGGGAUCAUGUGAGCGUCGGGGAGAGAAGCCGUUGCCGGAACGGGACAGUGCCCUCCCCCAUCCACCCAUCGUCCCCUUUCAUCCGUCCAUCCAUUGCUCCCUUCCUUCCUAUCUGGCUCUGUCCCUCUCUCCGUCCCCUCCUCCUCCUCGGCCUCCCACCUUCUUGACAGCUGGCCUGCUGAGCUGCAGAUACUUACCCGAGGAUAAGAGGAUUUACUGACACAAUUGAUCAGACAUCAACCUCAUUUAGCAAAGAAAUGAAUGUUUAAAGGGUGGUGAUUUUGUGCUAGUGUGUGUGGAAGAUCUGUCUAUUUUUUCUCUUUUAAUGUGAAACUUGAUGAGCGCGUGUGCUCGCGAGGAGUGUGUGUGUCAGACAAGGGGUCUGUGGCUGGUGCUCAUGAGCUCGAUUGGUAGUGAAGAGAUUUCUUAAUUACAUGUCUGCUGUAUCUAAUGAGCUCCGCAGGCUGUCUGUCUGAUUACUUUAGGAUGCGUUCUGCUCUCUGUCAUAUGGCCACAGCGCUGUCAGCCACAAAUACGAGCAUGAGAGCAUGCAGUCGUACUUUACAUACACACACAAGACACAUGCAGGCACAUAUGAAGCAGGUAUUAACAGAUCGAUGCACAUGCUGAGGCUCUGUCUUUAUAGCGGCUAAUCUGAUAGAUAUUGAGGCUUGUGUUGUUGUUCAAGAGUGGAUCUGCUGCUCCCACCCCUGUCACGUAUCCCUACCACUACCCACUCCCCCCAUCAUAUACUCUCAGUGCUGGUCUGCUCUCCAGACAGGAGAUAUUAUUAGUUAGUGGGCCAUGGGCUUAUUGAAUUACCACACAGUGGAGUGCUCCAUCCAGCCACUACCCAGUAAUUAACAGUGAGGGAUUUAGAGGGUUUGUGGUCUGUGAUGUUUCUUUAAACCUGUUGAUCGUUAGACCAGUGGGAUACAUUUGUGCCUUUGGUUGUUUUCUGUACAAAUGUGAAAAUAAAAUGUGGUUGUCCUACAUGAAUGAUCAUCUAAUGCAAGUAGUUGUUUGAUGGUGGUGAUGAUGGUAUUGUUGACACUGGAGCUGUUUCUGAUUAUUUGCUUAUAUUGUGAUAUAAGAGAUAUUGAUAAGAAUUGUUUUUGUGUUUGUUGACUGUGACGCUCCUUUUGAGCAUAUAAAGUGAAAAAUACUGUUAUAACGACUGAUAUGCACUAAUCCUAGUUCAUAUAGGACUGCAACUUUAUUAUUAUUUUUAUUAUCAAUUGUUUGAGCAAUUAUUUAUUUGACUAAUGUUUUACUGCUUAGUAUUUAAAAUGCCAGGCACUAGUAAAAAUACUGAUCACAAUUUUCACAGACCUCAGAUUGCUUGUUUUGUCUGACUAACCUGUUUUUUCAAGUUUUCUGUUCCUCAAUAGUUAGCACUAGGUCACAGUAUGUGUUACACUAGGGGUUUGAAAAAUAUCUAAAUAUAUUCUAUCACGAUAUUUCAUUUUGUGAUCUUGUAUCGAUUGUUAAAAACACUGUACUGACUUGUGUGCAACCGCCAGAUAGCAGACAACAGUGUUGUAAACGUCUGAGUGCUAUGUAUGAUGUUAGGUUUUACAAAUACAAAUCCCACUGUUCUGGUUGCAUGAUGGAACUUGUUUUCACUCAGAUAUUGAAUACUCUAUAUACUAGUUUUCCUAAUAUUAGAUUUUUACAAUAUAGUAUCAAAUUGUAUCACAAUAUACUGAAUCGUAACCCCUGUAUCGUAAUGCAAAUCACAUUGCCAGAUUCUAGCCAA